rnacentral:rRNA from 1 species
AUGAGGGACCUUCUUCACAUCAGCCAUCCCCAUGGCCAUGGGAGGAGCAGCAGCAGAUUCUUCGUCGUCGCCGUCGUGUCCCUCACGCUCGUUGCAGCUCUUCUCGCGGCUUUCAACAUGCUGACCACGACGAGGAUCCCAGCUGACCGGCGGCCGCUUGGUUCUCAGUCUCACACGUCAGCCCGGCGAGGCGAGGGCUGUGACAUUUUCCGGGGCGACUGGGUGCCGGACCUGGACGCGCCCUACUACACCAACGACACCUGCCCCCCGGGGAUCAUCGACGAGCACUACGACUGCAUGAGGUUCGGCAGGCCGGACCUGGGCUUCCUCCAGUGGCGGUGGCAGCCCGCCGGCGACGGCUGCGACCUGCCCCGCUUCGACCCCCGCCGCUUCCUGGCCUUGAUGAGGGGCAAGACCAUCGCCUUCGUCGGGGACUCGCUGGCCAGGAACCACAAGGACUCUCUCAUCUGCCUCCUCACCAGAGUCGCGAUGCCUACCAUAAGCUCGCCGAGAGAGAAGCACACGGUGUACUACUACAGGGAGUACAACUUCACGGUGGCCAGCUUCUGGGUGCCGUACCUGGUGCGGCACGAGAUGAUCGAAGACGACGGGCCGAUGCACACGGGCCUCUGGAACCUCUACCUGGACGAGCCGGAGGAGGUGUGGGCGACGCAUGUGGCGGAGCUCGACUACGUGGUGGUGUCGGCGUCGAGCUGGUUCUACCGCCCGUCCAUGCUGUACGAGGCCGGGCAGCUCGUCGGGUGCCACUACUGCCAGCGGCCCAACGUGACGGACCUGACAAUGCGGUACGCGCUGCGCAUGGCCACGCGGGCCGCGUUGCGGGCGCUCUCCGGCGCCGACGGCCGGUUCCGCGGCACGGUGCUGCUGCGCACCGUCGACCCGUCGCACUAUGAGGGCGGGGAGUGGAACAAGGACGGCAACUGCCUUCGGAGGGCGCCGCACCGACGCGGGGAGAAGAUGGUCGAGGGCUUCGAGCUCGACUUCCGCGCGCUGCAGGUGGAGUUUGCGGCGGCGGAGAGGGCGGCGGCCGGCGGGGUGAGGGUGAUGCUGAUGGACACGACGGAGGCGAUGAUCCUGCGCGCGGACGCGCAUCCCAGCAAGUACCGCGCCUGGACGCCCGACCCGCUCAUGAAAAACCAGGUGUACAGCGACUGCGUGCACUGGUGCCUUCCGGGGGCCAUUGAUACAUGGAACGACAUGCUGCUCCAUAUGCUGCUCAACGAGUGA